UGGCUAAAAAUAAAGAAAAAGCUUUUUUUGUCCUCUCCACAAAGCGAGCAGACACAGCUGUAUCUCAUCCAUCAGUUCCUCUAUAUUUGCUGCACUGUGGCAGGCCCGCCUCAAACCGCUGCCCUGUUGUAACUCAACACCCAGGUGUGGCUGACUCACCCGUCUCCCUCCUCUCCGCCGAGGUGGAGCGGUCCUUCCUCUGCGGCCGCUCCAGGAGGGCGAAGCCGGGGCCCUCCGGGGCCCCCGCCUCGGGCCUCCUGCUCCGGCCCGCCGCCUUCAGGGUGUUGCGCGUCAGGGCUGACGCAAACAGGUUGGUGUGUCCCGGGGGGUCCGGGCCUCCGGCGUCCGCCUCCUCCGUUGGCGUGAGGGGCUCGUCGUCCUCGUCCUCGUCCUCCUCCUCUUCGUCCUCGCUGUCCGAGCAACCCGCCGGGUCUUCUGGCCGGCCGUCCGAGAAGGGCCCGCGGCCGGACGCCGCCGAGGCCGCCUGGUUCCGCGAGAGCUUCCCGUAGUCCACCUCGCCGCCGCCCACCCUGAACCAGGAGUCGGGGGCGCGGGGCUGUCCCCGCGGGACGCCGGCCCCGCCGCCCAGCGCCAGCCUGGAGGGCCCCAGGCAGGACGCCGUGCUCUCCUUGCGCUUGUACUUGUCGGCCGAGGAGGAAGCGGAGGACGUGGACGAGGGCGAGUUGGCCGAGGCGGCCGCUGCCGCCGUCCGCCUCCGCCGCCGCCGCCCGCCGCCGCCGCCGCCGCCGCCGCCACCGCUCCCGACUCCCGUCCGAAGCGGCACCGCUGCAGGGGUUCUGCUAGACCGGCGGCCCGCCCGGCCCUCAGCUCCGCCCUCCCCGGGGCUCCGCCCUCCGGUAGGCCCGCGCCGGCCCGGGCGGCCGCGGGGCCCCUGGCGGCCGCCGCGUCGCCCCCGUCCUGGCCGGCGCGUUCGCGGUGCUUGUGGCGGUGCUUGUGUUUGUGGUGCCAGUUGAAGGAGAGCUCCGAGGACAUGGGCGGGUACAGCACCGGCGGGCGGCCCCCGCCGUGGAGCUCCUGCCGCAGCAGCUUGUGCUUCUUCUUGUGGAACUUGGAGGGGUUCAGCAGCAGGUGGGGCGGGUGGUGGUGGUGCAUGUAGGAGGCGGGGGCCGGGGGCGGGGGGAACGACGGGGAGUGGUGCGAGUGGUGGGACGGCCCCGCGUGGGAGGACUGGUGGUGGGGGUGCGGGUACAGGGCGCUGGCCGGCGGGUAGCCCCGGUAGUAGCCCAGGCCCAGGGGCCCGGAGGAGUAGGGCAUGCCGUAGGAGGGGUGGUAGAACCCCCCGCUGGGCAGGGGGAAACCCAGGCCCGGCACGUAGGGGACGUCCGACAUGGCCUCCCGGAGCUUGGGCGGGCGCCCGCGCUUCUUCUUCAUGUCCGGCUUGCGGACGUAGUGCAGCGGGUCGCAGUUGUACGCCGGGUGCGGCGAGUAGUAGCCGCUGAAGUUGAUCCUGAAGAUGGUGGGCAGCAGGUCCCGGGAGAGAUAGUGGUGCGGUGGGGGGCCGCCGGAGCCUCCGAGGCCCCCGGGUGCCAUCGCCGAGCUCAUCACCCCGGGCAUCAGCAGGCCGGCCCCGCCCCCCAGUCCGGCGGUGAGCCCCGGGGCCACGCCCACCAGGCAGCCCGCCUUCUCGCCCCGGUCCGAGGUGCUGUUGUUGUCCGUCCCGAUGCCGCUGUCGCUGGGCACCGUCUCCUCGCUGUGGGACUCGCUGACCGGCGAGGGCGUGGCCUCCUUCAGCUCGCUGAGCGGGGCGGGCGACGUGGGGUGCAGGGGCCGCGGCGGGGACAGCUUGUGGUAGUUGUAGUGCUGCCGGAAAUGGGCGUGGUGGUGGUGCUGCUGCUGCUGCUGCUGCUGGUGGAACCCGCGGCACAACGACUUCUUCUGGGCCGCUGCCAAGGCCGCCGCCGCCGAGGAGCCAUGGAUGCGGGGAUUGGGCGCCGAGAAGGUGGGCGGGGCGAAGGGGAACGAGUGGUGGCCGUGGUGGUGGGCGUGAUGCGUCUGGUAGUGCGGGUGGGCGGCAAAGUGCACCGAGCCCGGCUCCACGAAGCCGCCGCCGUCGCUGGCCGGGCUGUGGCCCCCGCUGGACUGGGAGAGCGAGGGGGAGGGGAACACCUCCGACGAGGAGAGCUGGUGGUGCUGCUGGGACUGGUGGUGGUGGUGGUGGUGGUGGUGAUGCAGCGGGGAGGUGAUGCUGGGGGACUCGGAGGGCGGACUGGAGUCCUUGGAGCCGCCGGGGAGCUUGGGUUUCCGGCCGCGCCUCUUGCCCAUGUAGAUCGUCCCCUUUUUGCUGACGUUGAUCUGCGGCGCCAGCUUGCCCCCGAACGAGGCCGCGAGCGAGGUCAGCGACUGUUUGGCGGCGACCGCGGAACCUGCCGCCAUGCUGCCGGGGCCUCGGGAGGUCUCCUCCGGCCCGGGGCCCAACAGAAUCUGGCUGAGGAUGCGCUUCCUCUUCACGCUCUUCAUCUUGUUGAUCUUGCCUAUGAUUGUCCUCAUGAUGAGCUGCCCGUUGCCUUUGGUGUGGAACAGUUUCUCCCCUCCGUCCCCCCGCCUCGGGGGCCAGUGUCGGGGGUUGACCCUCGGGGGGGAGGGUAGGGGGCAGGCGCUUGGGACGGCCCCGUUUCCUGGGCAUGGGUUUGGGAGGGUUGAGGUCGACCUCCGGGUGGAGGACCGGAGGGUCCUGCUCUUCUUUGGACUUGAGCAGCGAUGAGUAGACCUUGGAGGGGGCCAGCUUGUUGGGGGGGCGCCCGCGGAGGGGAGCAUCCAGACGGGGCAUUUUAGACUUGGGCCUCCCCCGUUUCCUCGGCUGGGGCGGGAACAGAUGCGACAUUGGAUUUUGUGGCGGGGGAGUUGGUCUGAUCUUGUUGGGGUUGGGAGGCCUGCCGACGGGCCUCUUCACCGGAGGGGGCGUGUCCAUGCUCAUAGACAGAGGCACGGGCCCGUCCUGGCCUUCCCGGGCCUUGUUGAUAAUACGGGUCCAACGGGGUUUCCUGCCCCUUCGCUUCUUCAGGGGCUUGCUGUCCUGCUCCGCCGGGGAAUCGGGGGAGGAGUCCCGUGAGUCGUGCCUGAGUGGGAGCGGGGAGCCGUCCCUCUCGUCGGACUCCGGAUGCGGGGCACCCCUGUGUCUCGUCAGCUCGGCGGGGAGGGUCCGGCCGGCAUCCCGGCCGGGGCUGCUCCCCCGGUCCGCCCGCAGCGACUGGCCCCCGGAGCAGCGCUCCUUCCCCUCGGCCCUCCCCCGUGCCUAACAGAGGGAGGCACUUGGCGAGGUCUCUGGGGCGGUCCGGCCUGUCGUGCUGCUCCCUCUCCCGGUGGCAGCUCUCCUCUUGCCGGGCUGGGCUGUCCCGUGGAUGGUGUCCCGGUGCGGCGCCGGGGCCGCUGUGCUGGCCCGACGUGUCCCCCGUCCUCUCCUCGGUGGAGGAGGCGGCGGCGCGGGGCGACGAGGCGAGCCGCGACGGCGACGGCGCGCUGUGAGGCGAGCAGUGGGAGAGGCGAGAGGGCGGCGGUUUCGCGGGGUUCCCGCCGGCCGCUUCGUGUUUGCUGUGGCCCAGGCGGCCGUGGCCGUGGGAGGGCGCGGGGCUGCUGCUGCGACUGCUGUUGCUGCUGUUGCCGCUGCUGCUGCUGCCGCUGCUGCUCCCGCCGCCGCCGCCGCCGCUCGACCUCCCGUUGCCGUCGGCGUCCUCCUUCCUGGGCGGCGCCGAGGCGGAGGACUUGCCCUCGCCGAGGCUGUCUUUGUUCCGGGAGCCGUAGGGGCGGCCGGGCGGUCGCGACACGGGCGGGGGCGGCGCCAGGUGGACCACCCGGGAGUACGUGUUCCGGUUGGCCAUGGCCCGGUCCCGCUGUUUGGCGGUCGGGGCCAUGAAGCCCGACGUCGGGAGCGCCGGCGAGGGGGCGAUCUUCGUAGGCUUGGUGGGUUUGGGGGUCUUUGACGGUGGGCAGGUGGCUAUGAGUUGGGCUAACUUCUCUGUGACAGUGGGGGCCCCCCAACAUGGAAGCCCCCUGUCCUUGUCCCUCUGGUUCUCAGUGCUGUACGUGUACUGAGCGGGUUUGACACCUUGGAAGCUGGCCUCUUUCGAGGCCGGUGUGGUCAUAGACGGUGCGGAGGAGAGGGAUGUGAGUGGGCUGGUCUGGGGAGUAGGGGCCCUCUUCCCAGAGUGUGAUGGGUGAUGUGUUUUGCUGUCUGAUGAGGAGCGAUGCAGAUUGAGGGGUCUCUCGGGCAUGGGGCUGGCGGCUUUCCCGUCUGGCUUGGCGUUAGACUUGCAGGCCAUCUUUGGUAGUCCCUG
ensembl:lncRNA